UAAAAUUGGCUUCAAACUUUUUUUUUGUGUGAAACAAUUGGCUUCAAACGCAGCUCUUAGCCUUUGAGCUUCCUUCUUCUCACGGUUGCGCAAAUUGAACCAUUGGCUAAUUUUAUCUCUGCAACAAAGAGGCAUUCAAAUUACCAUAAGUUAGGUAUCUCAAGUAUUAAUUCGGUAGAAAUCUUAACAUUUAAAAAAAAAAAAAAGAAUCUUAAAAGUAUUUUCACCACGGUAAACAAGAACUAGAGACUGGGAGUGAAUAAGUCAAACAAACAGGCCAACUAACUUAUGGUAAUUAGUCUCCAGGCCUGGGCUCAGUAAGCCUGUUUGAUUGAUUGACUUAUUUACUAACAGCAUCUCCAGUAAAACGGAUUAUCUCAUGAGCCCAGGCCCAAGACCAGAUCACGCACGUGCGUUGCUUUCCUGUCACGUGUCUACGGUAAAACCCCAGAAGCGGCUUCGCCUUGCUCCGCAACCUCGAUGAUCUUCUUCAUCUUCUACAAAUCAAUUUGUAAAGCUUCUGAUUAAGGUUUCAAGGCUUCAUUCUUUACUUCUGAUCUCCCCUAGUUUUUCCCUAAGUUUUCAUACAUCACUUUGCUGGAUACAAGACAUCAGACAUGAUGAACCUCGUAAGGAGAUCCCUCGGAAGCAUAUCUAAAUCGAAACUGGCUUCGACCCUCCCGUUUUCCUCCGCUUCACAACCUUCUGGAAUCCGAAAAUCGGUUUGUCUCUUUCUCUCUAGUAGGAUUUCAUUCCUUUUCCCACUCGGGGAUUUCAAUUUUUUCUUCAGCACCGUAACGAGAAUCGCUAAUCGAUUCUUAUACAUAGUCAUGAUAUCUUGUUCACAAACCCAAAAAAACAAAAAACAAAAAAGGAAUUUGACUUGCAUAAUUUAUCCUCUAAUCCUGCUCGAGUUAGCACAAGUUUCCAGUAUCUGUAUAUGAAACGCACUUUGGUCUGAGGUUGCUUUUUUCUCAAUUCUAUUUAUCGGAUGAAUGAUUUUCUACUCCUGCUUGAGCUCUCUCUAGUGAAAAAUAAAUACCUUCUUCUCGGGAACAGUCACACAAUUGCUUUUGUUCAUUUCUUUGCAAUACCCCUAUUCACACUCUGUGGUUUCUCAUGACGAGAAAAGAGAAUAUAGUUCUUGUUUCUCUUACAAGGCUUUAGUUGUUAAGCAUCCUGUUUUCUCCCUUCCGAUGCAGUUGAUAACCGUUUUACAAAGAGGAGCAUCAAGGCAAGCCAUUACUGAUUCGGGUCUCAUGAGUGUGGUAAGAUGUUAGCUUCAUUGCUGCUUACGCCCUUUUGGGCUUAGCUCUUAGUUUAAUAUAUCUCUCAUUGUUUUUGCUUUGCAGGACUCAAAUGGUGCUAAGGGUCAGCGAAAAUAAUGUGUUAUGAAACUUCAAAUCCUAGGGUUGUCUAGUGGUUGUUCUGACAGUGGAUCUGUUUGCAGGACUAUUGUUUGGCUUCCGAAAUCAACAAGGAAGAAUGUGUAUGGAAUCUCGUCCAAAGAACAUCAAGUCGUCUUCCAUUUCUAGAUCUUUUGCAUCAACAAGUUCUAAAGAACCUGGUGUACAGCGGAAUAAGGUGUUAAUAAAAAUAUGCUUCUGACCUCCAACUUUUAUUUUUUGCUGUUGUUGUUCCAUCUCUGUACCUUUCUUUGUUCGCCGUUUAUCACAAUGAGAGGCAUCAAAAGCGAUAUACAUCAUCUAAUUCCAGUAUAAUUAGUAGUAAAUCGAUAUGUUUUGCUUAUGACACUGAUGCUGCUUUGUGGAUUCUCUUAAAAAUGUCAUACAGGCUAAGAAAGAGGUGACUACUGUGGAAGACCCUUUUGAUUCUCCUACGUACCAUAUCCCGGAGAAGCCGGUGACCUUUACAGAAGGUGCUUCCUACAGUCUUGUUAUUCUGGCUGGGCUUGGGGUCGCUGGAGCUGCUGGGUACGGAGUGUUUAAAGAGCUCAUAUUUCAACCAAAAGAGUGAGGGUUCAGAACUCUUUAUGUAUAGAUGAUUUGUCUGAUAUGACACUUGGAGUGGAAUAAUCUAAAGAUACUACUGUUUUGUAUUGUAGGUACAAGGUCUUUGACAAAGCCUUGAAGAGAAUUCAAGAUGACAGUCAGGUAAUAAGAAACUUAACUCCAUAGAUUGGAUCAUAGGUGGUGUUAAGUCAAAAGAAAUCUGUGAGUAAUUUGACAUGUAAACUAGGUGAGGGUUAGGAUUGGAUCCCCCAUCACAGGAUACGGACAAGAAACCAGGAACCGAGCUGCUCGUCAACGUAUACCCAACAGAGUAUUUACAGAUGAAGACGGAGUAGAGCAUGUUGAGGUAACUCAUUGAUUGUUAGCAAAAAAAUCAAUUCUAAAAUAAAAUUACUCAAAAAAAAAAGAUAUUGAAAAUGCUUUCAGGUAAACUUCUUCAUCCGUGGGCCUCAAGGAGCCGGGAAAGUGUACACGGAGAUGUUUAGAGACAAGACAGACAAGGAAUGGAAAUACACGUACCUGAUCGUUGAGAUUUUAACUCCUUCCCCAGCCAAACUGAUGCUGGAGUCUUAUUUGCCCGCCUAGACUCGUAUCUUUUUCUUCUUCUUUUUUCGGUUCACCUUGAUUCCGG
rnacentral:lncRNA from 1 species